rnacentral:lncRNA from 7 species
GGAGAUUCAUGAGGUAUGGUAGUGUAACCCAGAGCAUUCUACCAAGGCAAAUGAAGAAGCUCUGACUGCUUUGAGGGGCUUGCCUAAUGAGUCAGAUGCCAGCCUGCUCCUGGUGCUUUCAGGAGGAAGCAGGGAAGUGGUCCAUGAGAUUCCACCUGAUGCACAGUGCUGCCAACCUCAGCUGUGUCAAGACUGCAUGUUUUGUGGGUGCUAUGAGACCAUUGGACUGGGGAAGGAAAGGGAAUGUGACCUUAACCCGACUGCAGCUUUCUGGGUGGCUCUGCUCCAUUCACGGCUGUGCUGGGGCCUGGGGAGAUGUGCAGGGUGCCUGCAAGGCUCUCAGGAUCUUUCCUGGGCUUAUGGUAAAGACUUGAGGAGGAUUCCAGGAUUCCUGGAGGUAAGCUGUGCACACGCCCUGUUUGUUAUACCUUCCUGAUGUGACGAGGAUGCUUCAGGGGAAAGCCAUGUCAGCCUUAGCAAAGCUGGUGGGAGCCCAUUUCCUCACAGUGAUACUCUGAUGCGGUGAGAAGCUGGAUCUGUUGAGGCAGUUAUUCCAUGGAGGCUGCUCUUUCCAGGGUGUUUGGCUGUCAGGAGCAUCCUGAAAUCUAUUUGUAUUAUAAACUAAUUUAAAACUACUCAAACAAGCCCUUAUGAGUGCAUGAGACCAAUGGGUAUUCAUGGAUAUAAUGAUAACGAUGAGUUUAUGAGCCACUUCAUAAACCAAAUCCUCAGGAGCUGCUGAGAUCGUAAUUAGAUUUGAGGAUAACGUGAUCCUCCGUCGCCCCCUCCCCAGCCUUCUUUCUGAUAGAAAAUCUAAAGCAAAAAUGAUAUUGCUCAGCUCAUUCUGGUGGAUUCAGCGUGGCCACAGGCACUUCGUUCAGUACCACAAAGGGAUUACAACUUGGUACCAUGCAGCCUGGGAGAAGUGUAUGCAUGGAAGUCCGUGUGUAUUCCUUAUGUAUGUGGCCUACCAAGCCUUAUGAGCAAUUAAUAAUGAAAUCAAUUAAUAACAAGAUCUGCGACGUGAAGAGAAGACUCUCUGGUCUCUCCCUGAGAGGAAAUGAGCAAACCAGCAGGGGACAUGUUGGUUGUGUCUGAUUCAUGUUGUCUCUACAAUCCCAGCUAAAGUUUUAGCAGCCCAGGAAGAUGAAUUACCCGCUCCAACAAACAAACGGAUCAGCAUGGGGUUUAUUAGGAGCAGGCUAUCAUUUAACAAUGUCAGGAGUGUAUUUAUUAUUAAACAGUAGAAUACAGAAUCUAAAUGGAAAACCAUUAGUCCUCUUUAGACACCAGACAAGGUAUGUCCAUUACGUCAAAUGGCCAUAAUAUUGCAUGCUUGUAUGAAUGCAAAUCCUGGGUCCAUUUUGCUGGACCUCAGGACUUGCUAUGUUUAGCCAGAGGCAUAUAAACCAAAACACUGAAGUGACAGAGGACGAAAUUGUAUACCACGUAGUCAUUUUGAAUCAUCAAGUUCCCCAGUGGUUUCACCUCAAUGACCUGGUAAGGAACCAGAGACAGGAUUCUGGGUACAGAACAGAGAGAUUGAUUAAAAGAGAUUGCCCAUGGGCCAGGGUAUGAAAAAUGUUCAAGAAAACUGCACUAGAAACACAAACUGCCUUCUAAUGCGUACUCUGUAUUUUUAGCCUAGAGAUUGCUCAUUUCUUCCUUUUUCCUUGAGACUGCAGUCUAUGUCUAUAAGAAGACCAAUCAGUAAAUCAUAUGUU